rnacentral:rRNA from 1 species
GACGAACGCUGGCGGCGUGCUUAACACAUGCAAGUCGAACGUGAUUUUUGUGGAAAUUCUUUCGGGAAUGGAAAUGAAAUGAAAGCGGCGAACGGGUGAGUAACACGUGAGCAACCUACCUUACACAGGGGGAUAGCCGUUGGAAACGACGAUUAAUACCGCAUGAGACCACAGAAUCGCAUGAUAUAGGGGUCAAAGAUUUAUCGGUGUAAGAAGGGCUCGCGUCUGAUUAGCUAGUUGGAAGGGUAAAGGCCUACCAAGGCGACGAUCAGUAGCCGGUCUGAGAGGAUGAACGGCCACAUUGGAACUGAGACACGGUCCAAACUCCUACGGGAGGCAGCAGUGGGGAAUAUUGCACAAUGGGGGGAACCCUGAUGCAGCGACGCCGCGUGAGCGAAGAAGGUUUUCGAAUCGUAAAGCUCUGUCCUAUGAGAAGAUAAUGACGGUAUCAUAGGAGGAAGCCCCGGCUAAAUACGUG